AAAUCACGUCGUUGAUUACUCUAUAAAUUUCCAAAUUUUCUCUCUCUCACGCAAUCCAGAUUCAACUUCUUUCUCAAUCUUAAUGGUAUUACCAAUUCUGAACGGUUGCUUGACACAGGGGCUACAGAUCAUCUAUGCCACUCUAAGUCUUCGUUGGCUAGCCUUAAUUCCAUUAAACAAAUCAUUAUGAGGGUUCCUAAU
rnacentral:lncRNA from 1 species